rnacentral:rRNA from 1 species
UACGAAGGGGGCUAGCGUUGCUCGGAAUCACUGGGCGUAAAGCGUGCGCAGGCGGUUAUUUAAGUCAGGUGUGAAAGCCCUGGGCUUAACCUAGGAAUUGCGCUUGAGACUGGAUAGCUUGGAGUGCGGCAGAGGGAGGUGGAAUUCCACGUGUAGCAGUGAAAUGCGUAGAGAUGUGGAGGAACACCGGAUGGCGAAGGCAGCCUCCUGGGCCAACACAUGACGCUCGAUGACACGGAAAGCGUGGGGAGCAAACAGG